rnacentral:rRNA from 1 species
AAACCAUUCUCAGUUCGGAUUGCAGGCUGCAACUCGCCUGCAUGAAGCUGGAAUCGCUAGUAAUCGCGGAUCAGCAUGCCGCGGUGAAUACGUUCCCGGGCCUUGUACACACCGCCCGUCACACCACGAGAGUUUGUAACACCCGAAGUCGGUGGGGUAACCUUUUGGAGCCAGCCGCCUAAGGUGGGACAGAUGAUUGGGGUGAAGUCGUAACAAGGUAGCCGUAUCGGAAGGUGCGGCUGGAUCACCUCCUUUCUAAGGAA